rnacentral:rRNA from 1 species
AGAGUUGAUCCUGGCUCAGAACGACGCUGGCGGCGCGUUUAAGCAUGCAAGUCGAGCGGCAAGGGCCUUCGGGCCCUAGAGCGGCGGACGGGUGAGUAACACGUGGACAAUCUGCCCCCCGGCCCGGGAUAGCCCAGGGAAACCUGGAUUAAUACCGGAUGAGACGGGACCCGCGAUGGCGGGAUCCGGGAAAGGCGCUGCGGCGCCGCCGGGGGAUGAGUCUGCGUCCCAUUAGCUAGACGGCGGGGUAACGGCCCACCGUGGCGACGAUGGGUAGCCGGCCUGAGAGGGUGGACGGCCACAUUGGAACUGAGACACGGUCCAGACUCCUACGGGAGGCAGCAGCUAAGAAUCUUCCGCAAUGGGCGAAAGCCUGACGGAGCCGACGCCGCGUGAACGAAGAAGGCCGUGAGGUUGUAAAGUUCUUUUCGGGAGGGGGAACAACCGUGGCAGGGAAUGGCCGCGGGAUGACGUGAAUCCCGGAAUAAGCCCCGGCUAACUACGUGCCAGCCGCGGC